GCUUGUCUCAAAGAUUAAGCCAUGCAUGUCUAAGUAUAGUACCUUAUACUGCGAAACUGCGAAUGGCUCAUUAAAUCAGUUAUAAUUCAUUUGAUGGUACUUACUACUCGGAUAACCGUAGUAACUCUAGAGCUAAUACAUGCAUCAAUCCCCGACUUCCUGGAAGGGGUGUACUUAUUAGAUGGAAACCAAUGCGGGGCAACCCGGAUUCUGGUGAUUCAUAAUAAUUAUCGGAUCGAUCGUAUGAUCGAUGCAUCAUUCAAGUUUCUGCCCUAUCAGCUUUGGAUGGUAGGGUAUUGGCCUACCAUGGCAUUAACGGGUAACGGAGAAUUAGGGUUCGAUUCCGGAGAGGGAGCCUGAGAAAUGGCUACCACAUCCAAGGAAGGCAGCAGG
rnacentral:rRNA from 1 species